rnacentral:rRNA from 1 species
AGAGUUUGAUACUGGCUCAGGACGAACGCUGGCGGCGUACUUCAUACAUGCAAGUCGAACGAGAAAUUACCUUCGGGUAACGGAAAGUGGCGGACGGGUGAGUAAUGUGUAGAGAAUCUGCCCUGAAGAGGGGGACAACAGAGGGAAACUUCUGCUAAUACCCCAUAUGCGCGUAGUUGCAAUACUAUUCGUGAAAGAUUUAUCGCUUCAGGAUGAGUCUGCAUCUGAUUAGCUAGUUGGAGGUGUAAUGGACCACCAAGGCGACGAUCAGUAGCUGGUUUGAGAGGAUGAUCAGCCACAAUGGGACUGAGACACGGCCCAAACUCC